GGGUCUUCGAUGCACUGAUGAGGGAGGUCUCAGUGGGAAAACCAAUAGGCCUGAGACUCCUGAACAGCCAGACCUGCUUUUCCUCUUCCUCCCUGUUACCCUGCCCUUCAACCCCUGAACGUCCCACCCCUCUCCAGGCCUAGAAGUCCGAAAUGGACAGUUUGUUCCAUGUGGCCUUGAUCCUUGCAGUCCAAAGGAGGUCAUCUGAAACAACACUGCCUGCCCUGACAUGAGCUAACCCAGCAGUGAGGGACUUGGGAGAGGGCCACUGGUGCCUAUGUGGUCCAAGAGGACAGUCUGAGGAGGCCAAGGGGUGAGUGACAGCCAUCACAAACUUUGGAGCAGAGGGUCUGGGUUCCAACUCCAGUGCUGAGCACAGACAAGUGAGUGACCCUUCCUUCCCUCCUCCUUCAGAGCAGACUGCAUCCAGCUGGAGGUCAGCGGUGAAGAGGUGAAUGUAGGAGCUUGGUGCAGGUCCCCUCUGGCCCUCACUUGGCUCAGCUUUACUGUCACUUCUUUUAAAACAGCUUCCCAGACAGCCAAGGGAAACCUCCUCUCUGUCUGCUCCUUAGCUGGAGCUGGCAUGGGCAGACCUGCUCAGUCCUGCUGCUGCCUGAACCUCUCCCCAGUUGGCUUCAAGCCACAGAAGCUGAGCCCCUGUCCUCCCUCCCCCCCCCCAAGAAAUGGGCGGAGAUCCCCUCCUCCUGCCUGUAUCUUCACUGCAAGCCUGGGUUCUGGAAAUAAAGAACAGGCAGGACUAUGGCAGACACCUUGGAGUGACAGAAGUGACCACUUUUCUGCCAGCUGGGCCAGGUCUGAAACAGGAAGGCUCACUCCUGCUGGAGCCUCCAAGGGGACCUGGGUGGCAGCCUAGCCCCUCCACUAGAAUCAAUGGAGCACUGCCCCACCCACCACCACAGGUCUUGAGGCUAAAGGUAGGUCAGGCAGCUCUGCUCCACCUAGAACCAGGGGACCAAGAGAUCCCUCUCACCCUCUUCCANCAUGGGCCCCCAUACCCUGGAGCGAGGGACUUGGUCUCCCUACUUGUGGGGAAGGGAGACUGGAUUUUCUCCUUAGAAUAGUGCUUUCUAAAAGGCAGUCACUGGAUCUCCUGCCUUAAUAUUAUCUGGGCUUCUUGAUGAAAUGCAAUUCCCUGGGCCCCACCACCCCAGCUCCAAAUCAAAACCUGAUGGGUGAAGCCAGGGAAUUCGCAUAUGGAGCUAACACUCUGCAUCAGAGGCCUUCUGAGGCCUACUAAAGUUCUGGAGCAGAGGUAUGAUCCUAAUACUCCCACAGGCAGAAGCAGGAAGGGUGAGGGGAGGGAGGAGACAGGAAGUGGAAGAAGUAUCACAGGAGCUCAUGGCCACCUUAGAGCAGGGAGGUCCUGGAGAAAGAGGUCCCUUCCAUGGGAUCCUGGUCUUGUUUGUGCAACAAUUCUGUAGAUGUCCGUGAGCAGAGGUAGGAAGAGCAGGGCUCUGGGCAGGGAUUAGCUUCGAUUUCUUCAUCUGGAGGGUAGGAAUGGACAGCCUCACAGGGCUGUCACAAUGAUGAAGUGACAGGACUGAGCACAGGAUAAAUGCUCUGUAGAUAGUUCUACCACUGAUUGUGAGGCCUUGUCUCUGAAUGGCUAUGUGGCCUGCAAUGCGUGCGUCAUGUACACAAAAUUGGGUGCCUGGACUGGAGCAGUGGUCCUCAGCCUCAGCUGGCUGCACACUGGAGUCAUGGGGGAGCUUCAAGCCUCACACUUCAGGCAAAUCACACUGGAGCCUCUGGGGUGGGGCCCAAGUGGCAGGACUUUUUAAUAUCCCCAUGCAGCUGAGGUUGAGAAGUCCCAGGCUGUGUGAUCCCCAGGCUGAGCCUCAGAGAUCAGCAUCUAUGAUGCAGGUGAGGCACCCCCGCUCCUGUGUGUCACAAACUGUCCUGAUCCAGUGCAGCCAGCUCUCUGUCUGAUGGAUACCUGAGCUUUGCAUUCCCAGGACUCCAGGCCUUAAGGGCAGCACCUCUCUCCCCAAAGCCUUGAGGCCUGCCAGAGCUGCCGAGCAGCAGGGUAAACAUGAGAGGGAAUGAGACAGAAGCAGUGCCCAUGGGAAGGGAACAGCCUGGGCAGGGAACGCUCCAGAGGCCUCCAGAAGCAGCCCCACCUGCUCUAUUGGGCUGAGCUAACCUUGGGGACGUGCAAGACUCAGAGGAUGGGGCUACCUAUAGAUCCUCCCAGGACUCCAGGCCAUCUUCUGCCCUUUCCCACCCACCCUCCCUCCUGACCUGGUAUUAGCCACCUUUGCAAGAGUAUUGUAACAUUUAGGAGGUUUUGUUUCCUAUCAUUGUGAUUCAUGUUCUCUGAACAAUAUAUGGUGGAAAAUUCUGCUUUUCUUUCUUUCUUUUAUUUUAUGUAUUUGUUUGUUUGUUUGUUUAUUUAUUUAUUUGGUACUAGGGAUUAAACCAGAGGCACUUUACCACUGAACUACAUCCCCAGUACUUUUCAUUUUUUAUUUUGAAAAAUGGUCUCACUAAAUUGCCCAGGCCAGCCUUGAACUUGUAGUCCUCCUGCCUCAGCCUCCAGAGUUGCUGGGAUUUACAGUGUGUGCUGCCAUGCUGGGCUAACCAUCAUUUUAAAAUAAUUUCUAAACACCUAUUAUCUCA
rnacentral:lncRNA from 1 species